AUGAGCAUCGGCCUCCUGUGCUGUGCAGCCUUGUCUCUCCUGUGGGCAGGUCCAGUGAAUGCUGGUGUCACUCAGACCCCAAAAUUCCAGGUCCUGAAGACAGGACAGAGCAUGACACUGCAGUGUGCCCAGGAUAUGAACCAUGAAUACAUGUCCUGGUAUCGACAAGACCCAGGCAUGGGGCUGAGGCUGAUUCAUUACUCAGUUGGUGCUGGUAUCACUGACCAAGGAGAAGUCCCCAAUGGCUACAAUGUCUCCAGAUCAACCACAGAGGAUUUCCCGCUCAGGCUGCUGUCGGCUGCUCCCUCCCAGACAUCUGUGUACUUCUGUGCCAGCAGUUACUC